rnacentral:rRNA from 1 species
GCACGGGUGAGUACACGUGACUAACCUACCCUGGAGUGGGGGAUAACUGAGGGAAACCUUAGCUAAUACCGCAUAAUACCCAACGGGUCAAAGGAGCAAUUCGCUCUAGGAGGGGGUCGCGGCCGAUUAGUUAGUUGGCGGGGUAAUGGCCCACCAAGACUGUGAUCGGUAUCCGGCCUGAGAGGGCGCACGGACACACUGGAACUGAAACACGGUCCAGACUCCUACGGGAGGCAGCAGUGGGGAAUUUUGCGCAAUGGGGGAAACCCUGACGCAGCAACGCCGCGUGGAGGAUGAAGUACUUCGGUACGUAAACUCCUUUCGAUCGGGACGAUAUGACGGUACCGGAAGAAGAAGCCCCGGCUAACUUCGUGCCAGCAGCCGCGGUAAUACGAGGGGGGCAAGCGUUGUUCGGAAUUAUUGGGCGUAAAGGGUGUGUAGGCGGUUU